CGUGGAUGCACACGCCGCUGGGGCAUUUCGUUAUCUUCAUUCUCAAUGUGACCACUGAUGUCACAUGAAACAGGAAAAGGAGUCUCUGCUGCCGGGAUACUUUCUGAGGCAAGAUAUCUUCUCGGCCAGUCUUCGUCUCCUGGCUUGCCGGACCUUCUGACCAUCACCUGCUGCCUGCUCAAGCUCUCCAUAUUCACCCUCAUGCAGACUAAGGACUCAUGGAUCAGAUCAACAUAAUUAUUAAUUUAGAUUACAUUCCAAGUGGUGCCAGAGAGGGUUGCGAUUGGCGUUCUAUGGGAAUAAAGACUAGAAGAUCAUGAAGCCCAAGGUCUUUCCUUCAUCCAGGAGUCGAUGGUGGAGAAAUAUUUGUCACCUUUAGGAAUGACUGCUUCUAGGGGAGGCCUCCAAUAUUUGAACUUUCACGUCUUAUUAGAAAAUCAUUGGGAUUGUGAAUGGACUAAUUGGGAAAGAAUAUUCUGUGGUAUUAAUUGACUAUUGUCAUUCACUCUGUUUUAUGUUUACACAUGAAAUAGGCAUCUAGUAUGUUUUUAUAGUAAUUUAUGCUUCAUUUUGUACAUAUUUUGCACUUCAAUAAUGUGAUGUAGUAUGUCAGUAAUGUCAUUACUCACUGUAAAGUUAUUUAUUCUCAUUGUUCUGCACUGUUAUUAAUCACUUUUUUGAAUUCAGGUAUAUGUUGUGAUAUAAUAUUAAUUAAUUUUUAAUAUAGAUGUAUAUUUUGUGAGGUAGGCAUCCAUCAAUUUCAUCUAAAUAUGCCCCAACAUUCAAGAAUGAUUAUUCUAUAUUUUAUAAUGAUCAUUAUUUAAUAUGAUUUUUAUAUCUAGCCAAGUCCAGCCUGUCCCCUAGUCUAUAAAGGUUAGACAUAUUUUAAUCACGUUAAAUAACAAUUCCCAUACCUCAUAGCUAAAAUUUGGCUUGUUUUUUCUGUACUCUCCAUUUGCCCCUGGAGUCACAAAUGAAGGUCCGCAUUGCAGUUGAUAAGAUCGGCACGGUGCGCAUGACGAUCCGCCAGUCAGCAGGCUUCCCUCUGUCGCCAAGGAGAUCCGGCGUCGGUGACGUCAGUCAGUGCCGUGCGCGACACGUUACUGCCCUUGCCAGCGUCUGACUCGGGAGAUGGGCGGAAGUGAACACUAUGUGGCCGGUUCUGAUGAGUCAUGCGUCCACUUUGCUCGUCAUCAUUUUUAGUAGUUAUUAGAUACAUCCACUAUAAUUGCUUAAUUAUUAUCAUUAGUAUUA